rnacentral:misc_RNA from 1 species
AAAUCCAUGGGAACCGCAUUGUCCUGAAUCAUAGCCAACACAAGUCAAUGACCUUUCAUGACAUCUAAGAACACCCAAGUUAGAAAAUAUGCAGAUAACAUGAAAUCCAGAAUCUUGCUAGCCCCCAUUGAGAAGAGCAGAUUUGAAAUGAUAUGUCCCUAGAAACAAAACAUUCUUCUUCACUUUGGUCAACCAUAAUAUCCCAAAUUUCCAGUGGUGGAGAUGGUCAAUAUUAACAACAGAAAAUGUCCAAACCCACUAUCUCUUGCUAGUCUUUUUUAGUAGGCAGUUUAAAAAAAAUUCUACAUUGAAAAAAAUUCCCAUGGCAGAAUGUCUCAUUUUAAAUAUUUUAUUUGUACAAAAGUUCAAUUCUUCCCAUGAUUUUGUAAUAAAGUUCAAUUAAAUAUAAAAUUCAAAAGUUAGAUCAAUU